rfam:Clostridium sp. CAG:1000 genomic scaffold, scf13
AUUAUGUUGAAAAUAAACAGUCAUAUAUAUUUGAAGAAAUGGUUCAAAUGUUUCUACCCGUUCCCAAAAUUGAAUGGACUAUGACAGCACUCAUCUUGUUU